UGCUUUUGUAAAUAUGUUUCAUCUUCAGAAAGAUUCAUGGAAAGGACUCUGGCACUUGCUCUAGAAUACAGGUUUCUGAUAAACUUUCAGAUUAUAAAACUGAACUGGGUAAAAAAUUACAGAACUCUAACAGAGAAACUGAUGGCCUCAUAAAACUGCUAACAGAAGAUCAAGAUCAAGAAUUAAUUAUAUGAGACAAUAAAUUGAUGAGGAUGUUUAUAAUUUUUAUGACUUUUUGAUUAAGAUAUUGCUGAUUUCUUAAUGUUUUGUUUUUUCAGAUUUCAGAAAACCUUUUUCUUUUUUCUUUUAAGGAACUAUGACUUACAGCAAAUUGUAAGCAAAAUUGAAACACUUAUCUUUUUCUCCCUAUCUGAUCCCUCCAAAACAUGCAAACUCCUGAUGGAGAAACACACAACUCAGCUAUGACAAGACAGCUUUUCAGGAAAAAGCUUGACUUUCUGGAAUAAAGCCGUGUGGAAAUAUUGGCCUGGUACUUUGUUUACAGGGAUUCCAGCAAUCUUACCAAGGAAACUGACAUCCAGAGAAUAUCAAGAAGCUGAAGUUUCCCAGAACCCAACUCCUCAGCUUCCUGGCACCAAAAUCCACAAUCCACCACAGAGGCAGACAACUAAGGACAUCCAUCUGCAGAUAUCCUUAUCUCAUUGUUCUCCUUCCUGCAAGUAGCCUCACAAGGCCAAAUGCAGGCUGGUGGAAAGACGCCAACCAACAAGCCCACAGGCUCUCCCCAUCCCUACAAGCAGCCUCAUUCCUUGCAACCUGUAAACCCCCUGGCUUCCCAUCUUUCAGGGAGACAAAAUGAAUUUGAGGGCUCACCCUUGUCUCCCUGCUGAUGUCACCCAAAAUAAAGACCCUUUCCUUGCCAUAAGCCUGGUGUUACAGUUUUUAUUUGGUCCCUCUAGUGUGGCAGGUAAAGAACCUACAUUUGUAGCCUGUAUCAGUAUUAUGUUUAGCACACAAAUAACCCAAC
rnacentral:lncRNA from 1 species